UCCCAUUUACCGAUGUACCCAUCAAUUCUACCAUAGUAUUCUCCAAGUUCUCCCUCUACAAUAUUCACUCUCUUAAUCUCACGAUAUAUUCUGUUAAGGAUGUUGCCAGCGUCUUGAUGCACAUUCAAAAUGUUUCAUCAGAAAAUGUUAGUACCUGGAUCAUUGGAUUGGACAUUAUCACUCUGAUCUAAAAUGGCGUACCAUAUUUGGUGCAUGUUUGCUCUUCUUGUUUUUGGCAAAGGCUCCCCCUCUACCAUGUCUACAGCCACGAUAUCUUUUCAACGAAGGCAGUUCCUACCUGUCAAAGGAGAAGAUUUUACGAUGGAGUGCACCUAUUUCCCUCCUUCGAAUGUUCGCACUGUCAAGUGGAAACACGAAGAAACGCGAAUUGCGUCUGAGUGGUGCACAACUGCAAGUGAAUGUACACCCAAUAUUUCAAAUCCUACAAAGUACAAGUUAAUGGGUGAUGACCGCAGCACAUCCCUCACAAUAAUCAAUUUGAACACUGGUGACAAUGGGAGAUACACAUGCACUGUAUUUAAUUUACAUGGAGAACGUUCAGCGACUGAAAUACUGAAAGUACU